GAUGAACGCUGGCGGCGUGCCUAAUACAUGCAAGUCGAGCGAACAGACGAGGAGCUUGCUCCUCUGACGUUAGCGGCGGACGGGUGAGUAACACGUGGAUAACCUACCUAUAAGACUGGGAUAACUUCGGGAAACCGGAGCUAAUACCGGAUAAUAUAUUGAACCGCAUGGUUCAAUAGUGAAAGACGGUUUUGCUGUCACUUAUAGAUGGAUCCGCGCCGCAUUAGCUAGUUGGUAAGGUAACGGCUUACCAAGGCAACGAUGCGUAGCCGACCUGAGAGGGUGAUCGGCCACACUGGAACUGAGACACGGUCCAGACUCCUACGGGAGGCAGCAGUAGGGAAUCUUCCGCAAUGGGCGAAAGCCUGACGGAGCAACGCCGCGUGAGUGAUGAAGGUCUUCGGAUCGUAAAGCUCUGUUAUUCGGGAAGAACAAAUGUGUAAGUAAAUAUGCACGUCUUGACGGUACCUAAUCAGAAAGCAACGGCUAACUACGUG
rnacentral:rRNA from 1 species